AGAACGAACGCUGGCGGCAGGCUUAACACAUGCAAGUCGAACGGUUGUAGCAAUACAGCAGUGGCGCACGGGUGAGUAACGCGUGGGAACAUCCCUUUCAGUUCGGAAUAACCUCGGGAAACUGAGGCUAAUACCGAAUAUUCUCUUCGGAGGAAAGAUUUAUCGCUGAAAGAUUGGCCCGCGUCAGAUUAGCUAGUUGGUGGGGUAAUGGCCUACCAAGGCUCCGAUCUGUAGCUGGUCUGAGAGGACGACCAGCCACACUGGAACUGAGACACGGUCCAGACUCCUACGGGAGGCAGCAGUGGGGAAUAUUGGACAAUGGGCGAAAGCCUGAUCCAGCCAUGCCGCGUGAGUGAUGAAGGCCUUAGGGUUGUAAAGCUCUUUUGCCAGGGAAGAUAAUGACGGUACCUGGAGAAUAAGCACCGGCUAACUUCGUGCCAGCAGCCGC
rnacentral:rRNA from 1 species